AUUGGGUUACUAAUAAAGUGUUAUUUGAAUGUAGACGACCAUGUGUUAUCAAUAUUGAUGUCCUCGUUUUUCAUCGCCUUAGGCUAGAGACACGUGCAGGGAGCUGAGACAUUCUCCUACUAUGACGAUGACUGUUGAUGAGACGUUAAAAACAGACGAAUUGUGGGUCACUGCAACAGACAUAAACAGAACGUUUCAAGAUGCGAUGUUUAACCUAAACCCUAUGGCCGAGAGCUUCAGAACUCAUACAUUUAAAGGCUUCGACUCUUCAAAAUUGCAACGAAUGAUUAAUGUGGCAUACACGUUGAAUCAACUCACUGUUAAUAUUCGAACACGGAAAGAGCAUGCUAAUUUUGAAGAAAAAAUGACGUCGUCGAACGAAACGUUUUACACUCCUGACGAUGAUGGCGCGCGUUUAGGAGUGUCGUUUACACACACAUCAUUUGCUGCCGGAGCUGGGCGGUCAACUACUGACGACGGUUAAGCAGCAAGUGCCAUUGCUCUUGGAGCAUGUGCUUGGUUGGCUGUUGCUGCGCCUGUUACAUCAAUCGCACAAGCAUCGGUAUAUCUAUUUCGUCGAUUCGUAGUACCAGUUCUACACGAAGAAAUUGCAAAUAAGCCUGAAAUGUCAUAUGAUAACGAUCUACGUAAAAUUAAAUAUUUGCAACAAGCGACUAUGGCGUUUCGGGAAGAAUUGAAACAACUGUUUGACCAGAGACAUUCGGAAAGAAAAUCAAUGUAUAAUAAUACCGUAUAAGUCCUAAGGAAGGAAACGAUGGUUUAUUGCAGGAAAAAAUAACCCGUUUGUAACAGCUUUUUAAUUGUUUAUGUUCGAAAUUAUUGGAAUAGGAUGUAUAGUUUACCGUACCAUUGGUACAAAGCUAUUGUACUUUAUAUUAAACCCAGAAACAUCACACGCUAUUAUGUGUAUAGAAGCACAACGAUUUAUAUUCGCCAAAGCUUUUAUUAAAACCAGGAUAUAUAUAUUUUAUGAAAAUAAAUUCCUCCAACCAGUACGGUUGCUAGACGUAACAGUCUUUGUAGACUGAGAGAAUGAUCUGAUGAUAUGUGUGGAAUGUCGAUUGUCAUUUGCAACAGAUGGAAAGAAAUGCAGUUCGAACACUUGAACUAAUGAACUAUUUAUUUCAAACGCUUUCGUUAUUGCGAAUCACAAUCACAAUAUAAAUGUGCUGCGAAGAAAUAAGCUUAUAUUGAAAACAUGGCAUUUUAUACAAUUACAUAGCUUAAGAGCCAUAUUUACAGAUUAACAUUAACAUUUUUCACACAAAAAAUAACGGUAUAACUUAAACACGUUUUCUUGGCCCGGUCAUGUUAGGGCGUAGGUUUUGUGUACCGAGAAUCUUUAAAAAUUGUGCACAUGUCAGAGCGAUGUAAUUUAUUAAAUAAAUUCAUGUUAAUGUGAACUAGUUACUUUUGUGAUGUUUGUAUGAAGGCUGUUGAUUGUUGUAUGGAAAUAUUAGUCUGCCAUAAGUAGUGAUCAUACGCUAAUAUGUUCUUUGCAGUUUGUUGUUCCUUUGAAUGUUUGUCAAUUUAUAAAUAUUCCGACCCCUCUAACCCAAAGUUCUGUAACCGCGCCUGUUGGGCAUAUAUGCUGAUAAUAAGAACUGAGCAUCUGCAACAAUAAUGGUCACUGAAUCUAUACUUAAUAAGAUGUGAAUAUUAUCAUUGAUAUGAUCGAUUUUACUGUAGAACAAUAUAGGAAGUCAAAGAUUCCGGGUAGAAACCGGCUAUGUCUUAAAACGCGAUCUUGUCACUUGAAAAGAGAGCCAAUUUAAUGUCAUUGUUUUACCUGCUGAGAUAAAGGGCGAACACGUGUGUGUACCCAUUAUCGAGUUAGUUUAUAUUCGAUAAUCAUAUUAUCGAUGAGUCGGAUCAAAAUCUGCGUAGGUCUAAUUCCGCGUCAUCAUAAUAUGUAUAAUUGAUCUACGCGCUUAAUUGUAUUUAUUUAAUUCUAUUAGUUUCGGUGUUUUAAUAGAUGACUCGAUUGCAAACCUGUUUCUACAAUUUGUUUACAAAAAAAAAAUCAAAUAAAAAAGUCAGAUCAUUAUCCGUAUUACUUAAUAAACAAAUUGAAUUUGUUUUUGGUUGUUUGGGCGUGAUUUUUUUUUCAAUAAUACAGAAAAAAACAAAAAUGAUGAUCAAACGUAAGAAUGCACUUUUCCUUUUUACUUGGUAUAGUUAGUAACUGGCUGUUGUAUUGCGUAUGACGCUAAGGUCAGUGAGUUGAAA